rnacentral:rRNA from 1 species
ACGAACGCUGGCGGCGUGCUUAACACAUGCAAGUCGAACGAGAAGAGAUGAGAAGCUUGCUUCUUAUCAAUUCGAGUGGCAAACGGGUGAGUAACGCGUAAGCAACCUGCCCUUCAGAUGGGGACAACAGCUGGAAACGGCUGCUAAUACCGAAUACGUUCUUUUUGUCGCAUGGCAGAGGGAAGAAAGGGAGGCUCUUCGGAGCUUUCGCUGAAGGAGGGGCUUGCGUCUGAUUAGCUAGUUGGAGGGGUAACGGCCCACCAAGGCGACGAUCAGUAGCCGGUCUGGGAGGAUGAACGGCCACAUUGGGACUGAGACACGGCCCAGACUCCUACGGGAGGCAGCAGUGGGGAAUCUUCCGCAAUGGACGAAAGUCUGACGGAGCAACGCCGCGUGAACGAUGACGGCCUUCGGGUUGUAAAGUUCUGUUAUACGGGACGAAUGGCGUAGCGGUCAAUACCCGUUACGAGUGACGGUACCGUAAGAGAAAGCCACGGCUAACUACGUG